rnacentral:misc_RNA from 1 species
GACCGACAUCACCGGCACGGUGACUGAUUGCGCCUGCAAGCCCGCGGCCAAGGUGCGCAGCUUGCCCGUCCCGUUCCGCCACGCUCCGCAAACCCCGAAAGCCCUUGCUCCGGCGCCCGGCCCCGUGUGACAGUUGCGGCAUGGCCGCCGUCUUUCGUCAGCUCUUCGUCGAUUUCUUCUCCACUAUCGUCUUCCUCGUGGUCUAUGCCGCG